ACUAUAAGAGUUGAUUAGAAUUUACUUAAGAUUUUUUGGAAUUUAUUUAGGAUUUUUUUAGAGUUUGUUUAAGAUUUAUUUAGAAUUUAUUUAGGAUUUUUUUAAGAUUUGAAUAAGAUUUGAUUUAGGAUUUAGAAUUAGCUUAAGAUUAUUUAGGAUUUGAUAAGGAUUUGAUUUAAUAUUUGAUUUAGAAUUUAGAAGUUGAUUAAGAUUUGAUUAAAAUUGGUUUAUAAUUUUAUCAAGAUUUUUUUAGAAUUAUAUUAGAAUUUGGU
rnacentral:lncRNA from 1 species